rnacentral:misc_RNA from 1 species
GAAAUGCGAUAAGUAAUGUGAAUUGCAGAAUUCAGUGAAUCAUCGAAUCUUUGAACGCACAUUGCGCCCGCCAGCACUCUGGCGGGCAUGCCUGUUCGAGCGUCAUUUCAACCCUCAGAACCCCUUGCGGGAUCUGGCGUUGGGGAUUGGCAUCCAGCCAGCCCCGAAAUCUAGUGGCGGUCCCUCCGCGACCUCCCCUGUGCAGUAGCGAUGCCUCGCAGCGGGACAGCGGUCUGACCACGCCGUAAAACCCCCAACUUCUCAAGGUUGACCUCGAAUCAGGUAGGAAUACCCGCUGAACUUAAGC